ACUGGGACUGUCCUUUCUCAGGGUGAUUCUGCAUAUGGAGCCAAUUUGGAAGUGCGGCUAAGUGAAGCAGAUUAUCCAAUUGGCCAGGACCAAUCCUCCCUGGGCUUGUCUUUAGUGAAGUGGAGGGGGGACUUGGCAUUGGGGGCCAACCUUCAAUCCCAAUUUUCCAUUGGAAGGAGUUCUAAGAUAGCUGUUCGAGCAGGAUUGAACAACAAGCUGAGCGGACAAAUUACUGUCCGAACAAGCAGCUCUGAACAACUUCAGAUUGCACUUGCGGGUCUUCUUCCCAUUGCAAUGUCUAUCUAUAAAAGCAUUAGGCCAGGGGUUAG
rnacentral:misc_RNA from 1 species